CUCACAACGCUGGGUUGAGGAGCUGUGUGGGAGGUCGUUCUGGGCUGGCUUGCAGACAUCAGUCAACAGGAGCAAGGGCUGAAAAUAUGGCAACAGUUUGAAGAUUCCUCAUUGAAGAAAAAGGAUUACUGAAAGGAAGAAAUCUUCCAAUCUGAGAGACAGAGAGAGAUGCUGUGACUUUGUGAAUCCUUUAUGAUGACAAUUUCUCACAGACUGAGGUGCCAAUCACUAAGGCCCUUUGGCAGAAGAGAUGAUGUAAGAAGAAAGCCGCUCAAAACACGGGAAAUUCUUUCUCGAUUUCUACCACCUAAGAUUCUCUGGGUCUAAAUUGAAUAGAAUCUCAGGAAAGGCUGGCUCAUCAGAAUGGAAGAACAAGGUCCUCAUUUGGGAUAAAACUUUCCUGCGUCAUUUUCUACUGAAAUAAAAGUAUCUUUAAUUUUGUA